UACGUAGGGGACAAGCGUUGUCCGGAAUCAUUGGGCGUAAAGAGCGUGUAGGCGGCUUGGUAAGUCCGCUGUGAAAGUCCAGGGCUCAACCCUGGAAAGCCGGUGGAAACUGUCAAGCUUGAGUCCGGAAGAGGCGAGUGGAAUUCCUGGUGUAGCGGUGAAAUGCGCAGAUAUCAGGAGGAACACCAAUGGCGAAGGCAGCUCGCUGGGACGGUACUGACGCUGAGACGCGAAAGCGUGGGGAGCAAACAGG
rnacentral:rRNA from 1 species